GGUGUGGAUCUCCAGCAUCUUCUUUUUCUUGCCUGUCUUCUGCCUCACGGUGCUGUACAGCCUCAUCGGGAGGAAGCUCUGCAAACAUACCGGCUAUGCUCAAUAUUCUGUAUACAAUGACCACAUUGGUAGCAAUCAACACUUGGAUUAAACCUCAGAGCGUGGCUUGUGAGCCAUGGAAACUUCAGCUGAAAAGUUAACACACUUUCUUCUGCUGUUUUUUGUUUUAGUUGUGGUGGUAUUUGCUUUCAUACUCUGCUGGUUGCCU
rnacentral:misc_RNA from 1 species